rnacentral:rRNA from 1 species
AGUGGGGAAUAUUGGACAAUGGGCGCAAGCCUGAUCCAGCAAUGCCGCGUGAGUGAUGAAGGCCUUAGGGUUGUAAAGCUCUUUUACCAGGGAUGAUAAUGACAGUACCUGGAGAAUAAGCUCCGGCUAACUCCGUGCCAGCAGCCGCGGUAAUACGGAGGGAGCUAGCGUUGUUCGGAAUUACUGGGCGUAAAGCGCACGUAGGCGGCUAUUCAAGUCGGGGGUGAAAGCCCGGGGCUCAACCCCGGAACUGCCCUCGAAACUAGGUAGCUAGAAUCUUGGAGAGGUCAGUGGAAUUCCGAGUGUAGAGGUGAAAUUCGUAGAUAUUCGGAAGAACACCAGUGGCGAAGGCGACUGACUGGACAAGUAUUGACGCUGAGGUGCGAAAGCGUGGGGAGCAAA